CCUACGGGUGGCUGCAGUGGGGAAUAUUGGACAAUGGGCGAAAGCCUGAUCCAGCCAUGCCGCGUGUGUGAAGAAGGCCUUCGGGUUGUAAAGCACUUUCAGUGGGGAAGAAAGCCUUGGGGCUAAUACCCUCGAGGAAGGACAUCACCCACAGAAGAAGCACCGGCUAACUCCGUGCCAGCAGCCGCGGUAAUACGGAGGGUGCGAGCGUUAAUCGGAAUUACUGGGCGUAAAGCGCGCGUAGGCGGUCUGAUAAGCCGGUUGUGAAAGCCCCGGGCUCAACCUGGGAACGGCAUCCGGAACUGUCAGGCUAGAGUGCAGGAGAGGAAGGUAGAAUUCCCGGGGUAGCGGUGAAAUGCGUAGAGAUCGGGAGGAAUACCAGUGGCGAAGGCGGCCUUCUGGACUGACACUGACGCUGAGGUGCGAAAGCGUGGGUAGCAAACAGGAUUAGAUACCCGAGUAGUC
rnacentral:rRNA from 1 species